UUUCAAGGUCCAGUCACCCAGCCAAAUGCCAGAGCUCUCCUACCCGGCAGGUAAACCACCUGAAGCUUCGGACCGGCUGGGUCACCUCGGGAAAGUAACUUAACCUCUCUGAACGCCCCCAAGGUCAGAAAGCUUUGCUUUCGGGGGAGAAAGCGGUAUGCAAACAAGACGCAUACGAAACACACACCGCGGGCGCCGGCGCAGUCCUUUCCCGGAGCCUGGGGCUUUCUAACGGGGAACGCGCGCCCCCAGCCCCCGAGACCGGCGAAACCAAGCGCCGAGCCGGCUAGCAGAAGCGAAACCUCAACACUCUUCAGCCUCCCCCGCUCGGUUCCGGGAACCGGCGAGCCAGGCUUCGUGGAAGCGCGCCCGGCAGCCGCGGGCCUCGGGACCGCCCCGACCACAGCCCGCAGUCCCGGGCCGGGAGUCCCUUAGGCGCGGGACGCGUGAGACGGGCGAGGAUGCCGGAGGCGGGAAGCGAGAGCGGGAAUGCCCAGCCCUGGCAAGCUGAGAGGGGCGGAGAGAGGACCAGCAGAGAUUGAGCGCCUACUGUGUGCCUUAGCGCUUGACAACAGGACUUUCGUUAGAUCUUCACUACAGCCCUUGCCAGAGGGAGUUAAUGCCCCAUUUAAGAGGGAUAAACUGAGCCUCUGAGAGGUGAAGUCACUCGCCGAAAACUGCACAGCCAGGCUCAGCGUGACACCCCAAAUCAGGGCUCAGUUACGCCAAGAAGAGCACGAUGAGCUUGAACCACUGGUUUGCCGAGUCCUGUUCUUGCUCUUUUUGUGUAGACAGACACAUAGUAGGUGCUCAGGAAGAUACUGGAAGAUGGAAAAUGAGCUUGACAGCUCAGCCCCGGAGUACGCGCCGCG
rnacentral:lncRNA from 1 species